CCCGAAUCUCCGCACGAAAUUUGUUUCGAUAGUGUGUGUAUUUUAUAAGAAAAACGAAGUGCAGAAGGUUAGUUUUUUUUGUUACAAGACCCUAAGCCCGUGGUGCAAAGGAUCAGUUGUAGUAACAAAGCGAAACUGAACGACACGAGGCCCAGGAAUGAAAAGACGAACAAAGCCAAUCGACCUGUAUCGACCCAGAUCCCUCGGCACUUCAGGAUACGGUUCGUGCAGCUAAACGAUUGCAUAGCUUUUUAGGUAACGACGUCGUUACGUCUAAGCUAGCAAGAGUACAGCUGUCUAGCCGCAAGGUACCACUUUUCACCACACUUCGCGCUAUCUCCUUCGCGUCCGGUUGCCUCUCAUUUGGCACGUAUAGGGCUUUUUUGAUGUAGUGCCGUAGCAAAAACGAAUGUUCGAAAUAGUGAGCCUGAUAGUAGCAAACGAGGGCCCUGCCGUUACGUCAGUGUAGACAAUGGAGAAAUAUAGCAACGAUGCAAAGAUGCCCAGUAACGUAAUGUGAAUGAUGAUGUAAAAGACAAUGCUAACUGUAGACUAUUUUACUGAGGUGAAAUAAUGAGACGCAGCUUGGAAGCGUCUGCUUUCAAAGGACUCGAAACUGUCAAAGACACCGGACGCUAGUUCAGCUUAAAGAUCUUCCUAUAACUUCUAUGAAACCGACUCAUGCUGGCCAGUCUGAACUACUUGUCUAGCAAUCAAAAGGACAAAACUUGCUUACGCACCGAGAGGCCUACAAAUAACAAGAAUAGUUCAAGAGACCAGCGGAAAGAUUGUCAUCAUAAUGGCGGACGAAAAGAAACAAGACUAUCCAGUAGGAACAGCUUAGCAUGCCUCGUGCCUUUUCUACGCGCGCACUCACCCACAUAUGUAUCCCUCGGUCACGUUUCUACGCCAUGACGACGUUGUUCAGUACAUUGUUAUUUCAUUGUCGUAUACAACAUCGUAAGCAUUGCUUGUACUGAGCGGUAACAACCAGAAUUGGUCCGACAUCGUAUCCGAUGGGAACGUACCUAGAAAUCUAUUAGUAAACUCGUUAUUUCUGACUGCGAGAGAACCA